AUGCUGUACGCGGCCUUUUUCAUCAGGCCAGCCCCAUAUGUGGGCCGCUUCGACGGCCCAUGCAAUGUGAACUCUUGUGAAUUUCGCCCGUACGCUAUCCGCUCAGCUCGGCUCUCUCCUCUAUCUAAUCCCCUUCGGCUCACUCCCGCAAGAGGAAGAAGACGCACUCCCCCAACAAGAACCACGCGCGAGAGAGAGGAAGCCAUGGCCAUGUCGCUCUCCCUCGCGCGCCUGGCCCUGCCUCCGGUCCUCCAGGCCCUCCCCGGCAGGAGGCUGGCCCACUCCGCCCUCGCCUUCCCGGCCAACUCAUUCUUCGGCGCGCCGCUGGCCGUGGCCGCCGCCGGCGCCGCCGCGCUCUCCCCGGCGGCCCCGCUCCCGCGCCCCCUCGCCGUAGUCGCCGCCGGGAAGGGGUACAAGAUGAAGACGCACAAGGCGUCGGCGAAGCGGUUCAGGGUGACGGGGACCGGGAAGAUCGUGCGGCGCUGCGCCGGGAAGCAGCAUCUGCUCAGCAAGAAGAACGCCAAGCGCCGGAAGAGGCUCUCCAAGAUGGUCCAAGUUAACAAGAGCGACUACAGCAACGUGAUGGGUGCGCUGCCCUACCUCAAAGUGAACAAGAAAGCAGGCUGA
rnacentral:rRNA from 1 species